GAACGUUGAUAAGAAGAGUGUAUUUCCCCAAGUACUUGUUUAAUUCUACAUUAGAAGUCUGAUGAAACCAACAUAUAAAAAUGUCAGAAGCCAGGCUACACAACAAGACAAUGGUUUUGCCACCCGUUGAACAUUUAGAUAAAAUAAAAAUUUACAUAUGCAGCACAAUUAAUGAAUAUGGGCAGCGGUUGAACCGUUUCAAGCCACAAAAAAUGGAGGCUCGCUAAUGGCCACUGUCACUGUCCUGUUCCGUCUCUUCUGGAUCUUCAAACCGUUGAUCAUUGAUUUGAAGCUCAAGCACUCUACGUGCUACGUCAUGAUCCCCAUUUGAAUGACCAAUUGAGCUUGUAGGAUUUUGGGAGAAAUGCCAUUCAGAAUCUUCCUCAUCUGCAGCAUCAUCUGCCAUCUGAUCAGUACUAAAAACCCAAUUGUUCCCUUCUUCAACAUCCUCAUCAACCGGUUCAGGAUUUAGCUCAGCACACUCACAAAAUAUCUGAAACAGAUUAUCCAAUUGGCUGGGAUCUGAAGGGACAAGCCUCAUCUCGGUGACUUUUGAUAAGUCCAACACGUCAUUAUUUUCUGCAUCUGAAUUAUCUGACUCAUCUCCAUCAUCUUCUGUCUCGAUCUUCAAACAAAACAAUGUUAAUCAGGAGAACCGUGCACAGAAGAUGAAUAAAGAUAACAACAUGAGCUUUAGAACCUUAUGAACAGAAUGAUUAGUUGAAAACAAAAUAAAAUAACCUCAUGCAUGUAUAGAAGAAAACAAAGAAAUUCUCUAUCUUAUGUAAAAUGCAAACUAAAAAUUCCUCAUAUCAUUAUAUAUUGAGACCAUAAAUGAAGCAUCCAACUAACAAGCAUGCAAUUCAUACAUAAGGUUGAUUUGGAGAGCAGCAAUUCCAGCUGCUGUUUACAAAUUCCGUAUUUUUUCAAACUUUGCCGAUCGAGAUACAACAAAGCUGAACAAAAGGGGGUAUUAUUUAUACACUGGUGCCAACAAUGCUAAAGCAUCACAUAAUUAAUAGAAAAGUUAUCCUCAAAUUCAAGGUUCAAUAUUUGUAUUCAAUUGAUAUCUAGAAAUAGUGCCAGCUACAACAGGAGAAAGAAAAAAAAAACUACUAAGCGAAUCCUUUUAUACCAAAUACAAGAGUAAUUUCACUUUGGAUGUAAUAAUUGCGAUCAAUUAACAUUGCCAAGCUCAUAUUCUAACACAUCUAUCAAGAAUGCUUAAAAACAACAGAG
rnacentral:misc_RNA from 1 species